UAGUUAGAACCUGUGAAAAGGCAAUGCGUUGUCGCGAAGGCACAGCCCGGUGGUUUCGGCUUAUUAACCCAACCGCUUUCAUACUUCUAGAAUCUACUGAUAGAUAGAGAGGGGUAAAAAAACUAGACUUCCAACUUGGGUCAGCUGCUGCUACUACUACUUUCCUGAGAAACCAAGAGAAAGUAGAGAGAGAAAAAGAGAAUGGACAAGGUUGGAAAGCUCCGGUGCCAAAGAAUCGGCUGCGACGCCGUGUUCACUGAAGACGAUAACCCUGAAGGUUCCUGUAGAUAUCACGGCUCGGGACCUAUAUUUCAUGAUGGAAUGAAAGAGUGGAGUUGUUGCAAGCAAAGAAGUCAUGAUUUCAGCUUGUUUAUAGAAAUUCCAGGGAUCAAAUAUUGAUGCUGAGUGAUGGAGCCAGAUUUUUUCCUAGCGGGCUCAGUCAACAACCAGUUUUGAUUUGUACUAUACUGAUAUUGACUUCAUGAUAAUAUAAUAUUGAUUUAGUAUUGGGAAGCAAUUAGGAAAAAUAAAAUCAUGAAACCAAUGCUUUGUAAAGUGAAUAAAAUGUUGUUAUUUUCCCUCCAAAUUAUAGAAAGUCUGAAAAAUUGAAUUCAGUUGAAUAAAUUAGAAUUUCAGUUUUUUGCCUGCUUCUAUGUUUUUGUAUUUUAGUUCAUAUUUUAUUUCUUCAUUCUCUCCUACAUGACUUUCUAGAUCCUUUCCAAGUCAUGUGCACAAAACAAGUUCAUAAUUUUUGAUGGAAGAUAAACACCAUAGUCAAAUGAAUUUUAUUUAAGAUGAUCACGGUAGGUAUAACUUUACUUGAUGACCACCACUUUCAUGACUUAUGAUAAGUUUUCGUGAAUGUUGAUUUUUAUUGUGAUUAUCUAGCAUUUGCAUCAUUUAACCUUUUGAUUGGCAUUUAUUGGAGUAUACUUUCUUUUCCUCGGACUUGUUAUCUAUGAUUUAAGGAAAUUACACAUUUUUAUUUAUUCUUGUAACUGUGAUGUCUCUCCAUGCUAUACUUCAAACUGUUGUUCAUGUGCCAUCUGCAACUUGUUGGAGUGGUUCAGUUUUCAUGGG